rnacentral:lncRNA from 1 species
GUUAUAAUCAAUAAGUUUUAAUUUGAAUUUCAAAAUGUUCUAGUUGUUCGGAUUGUGGGUGCCAUGUCUCGUCGUAGUAUGGAAGUAGGGUAGAGUGUUAGGUCGUUCAAGGGAUCAUCGGCCUCUCUUUUGGUCUUGCUGUAGGGUGGGCAAUCAGCUGUCGUAGCAACACCAGCGCAGCAGUAGAACAGCUAAAACCCACUCAGCUUUUGCAACAACAUCUUGCAGUGUCAUAACUAUUCAAUUUUAUGUGGUUUCCUAUACUUUCUGUCUGUCCGAUCGAACCUGUGUUUGGCCUAAACCAGCACGCGAAUUUUAAUGUAAUUAUGUAUGUACAAAGCGAGCAGGUAGCACAGGGGUCUUUUUCAACAGAGGGUAUUCCAGAUACAAGGUCAAACAAAAUUAUUCUAUACCAGGCUAGAAACAUCAAAGAUCUAAAGCUACAAAUUGAGGCAUAUCAAAAAUCUCGUGUUUCUUCUAAGCCGCCAAGCAAGUGUGGUGGGCCGAUCAGCAAGGUUGGAAAUGAGAUAGGAAAAGAAGUGGCAGCUGGAUCUAGUAGGAAGUGUUUCAGGUGGGGAGACUCUUCACAUAUAAAGAGAGAUUGUCCUGUGAGGGAGAACUGUUUUAAAUGUGAUCAGCCAGGACAUCGAGCAGGAAAAGUUAAGACAGAGAGAGAAACAAAUGCAGUUAAAGACAGAAAAGUCGUUUCAAAACCAUCACCACCCUUUUAUUCGAGACUGGAACAGAAAUAAGUGAUUUGCAUGAAUACUGUAUUUUGUUUGAUGCGUAGGAGUGUUUUUUGGAAACUAGGCGUAGGCGUGGACAGUCUGAUAGGUCGCCAGAACGUUUUAACAGGGAUCGGUGAAAGUCAGGUCUUGACUUUUGGUAGUUUCGAUGCAAAGGUCACUAUCGAUGGUAUUGACAUGUCGAUCGAAUUUCCUGGUAUUCCUGAUGGGGAUAUGAAGUACGAUGCAAUUUUGGGCACAACGUUCCUAGACAACGUCGAUAUGAUGGUAACCAAGAACGGCACUACAUUUUCGCCAAGUGUUCGUCGUGUAGAAAAAGGUGUUGAGUUAGGAACAGAGGAUGGUCAGUUAGGGCAGAGUUCCUGUGUGCAGCUGAUGAGCGAGUUUGAGAGCCAGUGCAUGUUAAGCUUGUAAGACUAUCAGGAGAAACCUUUCUUAGAUUUAGUUCAUUUGAGUCAGAAUGUCGCAUCUGAAGUGAAGCUUAUGAUCGAUAACUAUGAGACAAAGAGAAAUCUCAGUUCGCCAGUAGAGAUGAAGUUCUUGUUGACAGAUGAGUUACCGGUAUAUCAACAUCCGAGACGGACCCUAGAUUUGACAAAUGGUUUCUUUCACGUUCCUGUUUCGCCAGAAUCCCAAAAGUAUAAAUCUUUCGUAAGUCAGAAUGGACAGGAUGUUGUAAUUGCCAAACCGCUGUCUGAUUUGUUGCGUAAAGAGGUGAAGUUCGAAUUGCAGGAAAAACAUUUAACGGCAUUUGAGAAAUUAAAGGGAGCGUUGAUUAGUGGACUAGUUUUGAAGAUUUAUGAUCAAUCGCUGGAAACGGAGAUUCAGGUGAUAAUUUGUGGCAUCCAGUUUUCUACAUGAGUCUUAAAACAAAGCCUUGUGAGGAGAUGUAUCAUUCUUAUGAACUAGAAGUGCUUGCGGUAAAGAGGCGAGUGUACGUCCUAGGGAAAAAUUUCAAGAUAGUUACAGACUGUAACACUUUUGCCAUGACCAUGAAGAAGAAAAAUGGGCAAUGUAUCUCCAAGACUUCGACUAUGAAAUAGAGCACAAAUCCGGUUCUAAAAUGAGACAUGUCGAUGCGUUGAGAAGGGUAUUGUGUCAUGUUCUAACUGAUAGUUUGCUACACCGUUUGAGGGAGACAUAGCAGUUAGACGAAUGGACGAAGGUGGUCAAAAGUGUGGUCGAGACCAAAGGAUAUGAAGAUUUCUAUGUUUCGAAACAAGUUCAAAGAUCCCAAUAAAGAGUUGCUAGUGGUACCUUCGGUCAUGGAAAACGAGAUCAUUAAGAUCAAUCACAAGCAAGGUCACUUUUCUUGUAAAAAGACUCAGGAUUUGAUCGAGAAGUCAUAUUAUAUUCCCAAGCUCAAGGAGAAAGUAGCGUGAGUAGUUAAUAGCUGUGUAGAGUGCAUUCUAGUUAAUCAAAGGCAGGUCGGCAAGAGGGUUCCUCACACCGAUAGACAAAGGGGAUAAGCCGCUGGUAACCUACCAUGUUGAUCAUGUUGGCCCUAUGGAGUUGACGAAAAAACGAUAUAAUCACAUUUUCGUGAUUGUAGAUGCCUUGUCCAAGUACGCGUGGUUGUAUAAUACUCGAAGCACAGGAGUAGAAGAAGUUAUUAGCUGUUUGGAGCGUCAGGCUGUUUUCUUUAGAAACACAUAUAGGGUCGUUUCAGAUCGCGGAGCUGCGUUCACUUCGCAUCUGUUUAAGGCGUUUUGCGAUAGGGAGAAGACACAACAUUUGUUAAUUGCAACAGGCGUACCCAGGGGAAAUGGACAAGUCGAGCGUAUUCAUAAAAAGUAGUCCCAAUGUCAUCGAAAGUCAGUCAUAAAAGUCCGGGGUGCUGGUAUAAGCAUGUCGGUAAGAUACAACAGAUCAUCAAUAAUACCGAGCCGAGGAGUACCAAGGUUUCGCCAUUUAAAUUACUGACUGGUUUAGAUAUGCGUAUUCCAGGUGAUGUGCAGCUCAGAGAAUUGAUUUAGGACUGCCUGAUUUCAGAAUUGGAUGAUGAGCGUGACAACUUGAGCAAGGAAAAAUAUUGAGAAUAUGCAAGCGGAGAACAAGCGAGCGUUUGAUGCUAAAUGAAAGGUAGCAAAGAAGUAUAAGAUCAAUAAUUUGGUAGCCAAUAAACGCACGCAGUAUGGGACAGGUUUAAAAUUGAAGGGCAAGUGCUUAAGGACAUACACACUAGUGAAAGUGACCAUGGCCGAUACGAAGUAGAAAACGGUGCGAGAAGGAGAAGGGCUGUUCGAAACAUCGACAGUUGCGGGCUAUAUGAAGGAAUUCGGGACGAAUCCUACGUCAGGAGGGCCGAAUGUGGGAUCCGAUUGGGGUACGGUAGUGACCAGGACACCAGAAGCGGUCACACUCAUUAAUCGUCUGUCUCUGACCGAACAUAUCGAUAGCAGGAGUACUCGGUUGCAACGGGAGAAAGAGGGAUAACGUCCAGCGACAGUCGCCGCCAAAGUAAUACGCACAUCAGAUAAUCUGUUAAAAUGAAGCCAAACCAACACCAAUGGAACAAACUAUGAAUAAAGAUAAAUAAAUAAACCGUCAGUGUCC